rnacentral:rRNA from 1 species
GAUGAACGCUGGCGGCGUGCCUAAUACAUGCAAGUCGAGCGAACGGACGAGAAGCUUGCUUCUCUGAUGUUAGCGGCGGACGGGUGAGUAACACGUGUAUAACCUACCUAUAAGACUGGGAUAACUUCGGGAAACCGGAGCUAAUACCGGAUAAUAUUUUGAACCGCAUGGUUCAAAAGUGAAAGACGGUCUUUCUGUCACUUAUAGAUGUAUCCGCGCUGCAUUAACUAGUUGGUAAGGUAACGGCUUACCAAGUCAACGAUGCAUAGCCGACCUGAGAGGGUGACACGCCACACUGGAACUGAGACACGGUCCAGACUCCUACGGGAGGCAGCAGUAGGGAAUCUUCCGCAAUGGGCGAAAGCCUGAAGGAGCAACGCCGCGUGAGUGAUGAAGGUCUUCGGAUCGUAAAACUCUGUUAUUAGGGAAGAACAUAUGUGUAAGUAACUGUGCACAUCUUGACGGUACCUAAUCAGAAAGCCACGGCUAACUACGUG